rnacentral:rRNA from 1 species
UACGUAGGUGACCAGCGUUGUCCGGAUUUACUGGGCGUAAAGUGUGCGCAGGCGGCCGAGCAAGUCGAGUGUGAAAGCCCCGGGCUUAACUUGGGAAUUGCGCUCGAAACUACUUGGCUGGAGUGUGGCAGAGGAAGGUGGAAUUCCCGGUGUAGCGGUGAAAUGCGCAGAUAUCGGGAGGAACACCCGUAGCGAAGGCGGCACUCUGGGCCGGAACUGACGCUGAGGAGCGAAAGCGUGGGAGCAAACAGG